GGGAAGGAUCUUAGCUGCCUAAGUUAUUGGACCACAAAGUUUCACUCUUUUUUUCUUCUUUCUCUUCAUGUAUUAAGGUAAGGUAUUAAGUAUAUUAUCAUGUUGUCUGAAAUAAAAAUACGAUCAAGCUUUAGUGCUCUAUUUAUUUUUGUAUGUAUAAUACAUACACUUUCAUCUUACUACUAUAUAUUAAAAGAACCCUAGAAAGAGAAAAUGACAAAAUGGACUAACAUUUCUUGAGUGGUUUAAAGAAGUUUUAUUUAAGUUUUCUUCUAACCCAUGAAGAGAUUUGCCUACAAUGUGAAUGUUUUUUUUUAGUGGUAACAUGAAGUUGAGAUUCGAACUAGAAAACUGACUACACCUUUAUUAUUUUCUUAUGAAUCAUAUUCGUUUUUAGUUCUUUUUGUUUCAGUAUCUGUAUUGAUAGUUGAUAUAUAACAGAAAAACAUAACGUCAAUGAUUUAUACAUAUUUUAAAAGGCCACCCGGAUUGAAUUCUUAUUUAGUUUGCGACCAGGCAAUUCAAUUUUUACUGAUCAAUCAUGGGGUGACUCAAUAAUUUGUUCAUUUUGUAGAAAAGUCGUAAAAAGAAUACUUGGGGUACAAAAAGAGGUUCUUUCGAUUUUAUAGCAUAGGGUCAUCCACUAAAUUAUUUCAUUUUUUUUUUGGUGUAGAUGAUAAGGUCGUUCACGUUAGCCGUCGGGGCCACGAAGCCAGAAAUACAUAUAUAAGAUAAUGGUCCAAACUUGCAAUGUAUUCACUUUUCAACUGGUAAUAUGUAAAACGAAGACAUAUAAGCAAAAUCUAAGUAUCAAAACAACACCUUUGUUUAGUUUAGUUUUGUUUUGGUUUCAUGGUUUGAAAUCAACUGUGAUA
rnacentral:lncRNA from 1 species